GGCAGUGGUAGCUCAGUAGCUCAGUGGACUACUGAUCUGUAGGUCAUGAGUUCAAAUCCCAGCACUGCCA